rnacentral:rRNA from 1 species
UACGUAGGGUGCAAGCGUUGUCCGGAAUUAUUGGGCGUAAAGGGCUCGUAGGCGGUUUGUCGCGUCGGGAGUGAAAACUCAGGGCUUAACCCCGGGUCUGCAGUCGAUACGGGCAGGCUAGAGUGUGGUAGGGGAGAUCGGAAUUCCUGGUGUAGCGGUGAAAUGCGCAGAUAUCAGGAAGAACACCCGUGGCGAAGGCGGCUCUCUGGGACGGUACUGACGCUGAGACGCGAAAGCGUGGGGAGCGAACAGG